rnacentral:rRNA from 1 species
GACGAACGCUGGCGGCGUGCCUAAUACAUGCAAGUCGAACGCUGAAGGAGGAGCUUGCUCUUCUGGAUGAGUUGCGAACGGGUGAGUAACGCGUAGGUAACCUGCCUGGUAGCGGGGGAUAACUAUUGGAAACGAUAGCUAAUACCGCAUAAGAGUAGAUGUUGCAUGACAUUUGCUUAAAAGGUGCAAUUGCAUCACUACCAGAUGGCCCUGCGUUGUAUUAGCUAGUUGGUGGGGUAACGGCUCACCAAGGCGACGAUACAUAGCCGACCUGAGAGGGGGAGCGGCCACACUGGGACUGAAGCACGGCCCAGACUCCUGCGGGAGGCAGCAGUAGGGAAUCUUCGGCAAUGGACGGAAUUCUGACCGUGCAACGCCGCGUGAGUGAAGAAGGUUUUCGGAUCGUAAAGCUCUGUUGUAAGAGAAGAACGAGUGUGAGAGUGGAAAGUUCACACUGUGACGGUAUCUUACCAGAAAGGGACGGCUAACUACGUG